CCUACGGGAGGCUGCAGUGGGGAAUAUUGCACAAUGGGCGCAAGCCUGAUGCAGCCAUGCCGCGUGUGUGAAGAAGGCCUUCGGGUUGUAAAGCACUUUCAGCGGGGAGGAAGGCGUUAAGGUUAAUAACCUUGGCGAUUGACGUUACCCGCAGAAGAAGCACCGGCUAACUCCGUGCCAGCAGCCGCGGUAAUACGGAGGGUGCAAGCGUUAAUCGGAAUUACUGGGCGUAAAGCGCACGCAGGCGGUCUGUCAAGUCGGAUGUGAAAUCCCCGGGCUCAACCUGGGAACUGCAUUCGAAACUGGCAGGCUAGAGUCUUGUAGAGGGGGGUAGAAUUCCAGGUGUAGCGGUGAAAUGCGUAGAGAUCUGGAGGAAUACCGGUGGCGAAGGCGGCCCCCUGGACAAAGACUGACGCUCAGGUGCGAAAGCAUGGGGAGCAAACAGGAGUAGAUACCCGAGUAGUC
rnacentral:rRNA from 1 species